UGAAGAAGAAGGAUCCUGGGGAGAGAGAAUCACUGCUGUGAGGUACAAGGAGAAGAGUAAAAGAAGGCUGGCAACACCUAAGAUUCCUGGAGUGCUCCAGAUGUUCUGAGUGCUGAGGCCUUGCCAGCAUCCUGCUGCCUUGAAAGAUCAGCAGCCUUCUGUAUCAUCAAAGGCUUAUCAGCACAGGAAUUCUGGAAAACACCCUGUCACAAGAGCUACCAGUGCGAGAGGCCUGUGUUUCUCAUCUUGCUUCUGAAAGGAUGCUGCACACCUGUGUCACACUGUACCACACAGCUGGGAGUGCUGAGGGCCUUGUAAUUAGGUGAGGCUGUGCUUCCAAGGAGGAGGAAGAGCAAGCACAGGACUGUGAAUACUCAACACUUGAUUUCGGAUUCAUUUUCUUUUCUAUGCCUGUAAUGAGAGCUCGCAGUACCAGGGAGAUGCUCCAUGAAUGAGCUAUGCAAAUUUCUCAGUGAACCUCUGAGAUAGGGAAGUGCAAAAGUGCUGCAGGAUCAAGGGGAACAGAACAACUAAAUCUAUUUCACAGCGAGGUUUGUCAGCAUUGCGCUUCAUCUGAUGUACCUGCAAUUUCUGAAUCAAACAGAAGCGGCUGCUCCCAGACUUUCAGAAAGCAGGAAUUAAGAAACAGAAUAUAAUAGCUAUGUUGACUUCAAAGUACGCAGAGUCCUUGGAAAAAUUUCAUCUUGCCCAACUCCCUCUUGAGCUGCUGGCACCAGCUGUGUGAGAUGCAAGCCGAAAAACUCUACUGGGAGAUAACUAUUCAAUGCUGACUGAAUUUUUUUGUUUCUUCAUUUUGCUCUUAAUUUUAUCAUUUUUAAUCUGUACUGAAAUAUAUUGAAUCAUGGAAUGGGAAGCAUUGCAAGGGUCCUUAAAAGGUUCUAAGUGUGACAGGGUGUUUUUAAUACAUCGGUGCCAUGCUGGACACUUAUGGUAUGUAUUUUAGAAAUAUGAAUAAUUUGAGUACAUUUGGGAAAAGAUACAAUUAAAAUUGAAAAAUAACAUAACUUUUGGGCCUUAGCUACAAAAUGUUUUGUCUCUGGAGUAAAUAUCUAGAGAUUUUUGUGUUCUGCACAAGGCUGUGCUGAAGAAGUUCUGUGUAGAUAUACAGUGUAAAUGUGGAACAUAACCCCACUUGUCAGAAUUCAGUGUCUGGGCUGCACUUAGCUUUAUGGUUUAUGUGUAGUCCUGAAAGCUGCAAAUUUGGCUUGAUGAUCCUUGUAGGACCCUUCUGACUUGAGAUGCUGAGCUCUAUGGUAAUUUUUAAUUCCUUUUUUUUUGUGUGUGUGUGUGGCGAUGCUGCUUUUCUUGGGGCUUUGAUAUGGAAUUCCUGGGCAAUACUGUCAUGAUGAAUUUUGAGCUAUUUUGGGUGUCUUGUUUUGGUCUUCCUCUAAAAUAGUUAAGCAAGCUGUGAGACUUAUUUUUGCAGGAUGCAAUAGGGAACAAGACUAAGAGUUCAGAAAGUAAUUUCAAUAGAGUUAUGGAGAAAAAAGAAAAACAAAGCAGGCCAAGGUUCAAGAGGCUUCCAAACAGCAGAUUGCCAGUAGCAAGUUAUCCUAGACAAGAAAACCCUCCUUGGGUUUUGUAAUUAUUUUUUUCUUGAAGAUCCUCUUGGUCUCUGGAGAGCGUCUGAUGAAAAAUUAUAUUAUAACUCUGUGCUGAGGCAUUUACCUGUCCUUAGCUGUACUACCUGGCUGGGUCUAAAUAUCCUUUUUUCAUACCUUAAUCUUUUUAAUACUUAUUGGAUUUGGGUGUAGAAGGUAUAAAGAGGAAAAAAAAUGGAGGCGGGAAGGAAAUAGUGGUCAAGUGCCAUGUCUCCCAAGGCUGUCCUCUCCAGAUGAAACCAUGGAUCUGGCAGGCUCCAGACAUCCUGGAUCCUGCCAUCUGCCACAACUGGUUGAGUUAGAACAGUUUGUCCAUUGCUCUGUCUUAUUUUGAAACAUGCCGAUGUGUUUACGGGAUGAUUUGCAUAAAGUGACAUCCGUGUGCAAAACCUGGUAACUUCGAGCCAGAUGCUCUUCAAAAUUAUUUACAUAUCUGCUGAAUAAUUUUGGCAAGGGAAAUUCUGUACAACCCACUUGUAAAUAACUCGUGACAGUAUUUCUCCUUGCAAAUUUGGACUCCCUGAAUUGGAAAGAAAUAAAAUCAUGUGUUGCUCCUCCUUGAUAGAAUGAGGCAUAACUCUUCACAAUAGCAAACAAGAGAUGCUGUUGCUUUUUUUUUUUUUUUGCCACCAUUUUAAGACUGUUCCUUGCGAAUGUGUGCAGCAUCUCUAUCUUGUCGGUGGUGAAUUCAUGAUUCCACAUCCCUGACUUCAAAAAAUGCAGUGAUGCUAAUGUUAAUAAUUCAUCUUGGGGGAAAGAACACUGCAAUAGCUAUGGAAACGCUUUUAGCAAUGUACUGCCUUUGUAAUUUUAUUAUCACUCUAAAUACCUACAUUACUUCUGAGUAAAUAUAAUUAGAAGUAUGUGAUGGAGUCUUGUUAGGAAAAAAGCUGCUUUUUCUUUUUUCCUCUAUUCUGCAUUGAAAGCUUCUCUCUCUUCUUACCCCUCACUAUUUUCUCUUGCAUGUGCAAGAAAGAUUUGGCAAAUAUAUGCCUUUGAGGCUGACUUGCAUGGGAAUCUUCAGUGUUCUUUAGAGUCCAACUGCUGGACCAUCAAAAACCAUCAAGACAUGGCUGCAGAUGAACAAUGCUUUAUAAUGUGAUUAGGAGUAAUUUAGUAAUUCAUAUUUUUUGGACAUUUUUACUUGGCUUGUGCACAGCCCACUUUUUGUACUGAGACUGGAGAGGACACUGGGCCCACGUGUCUCUAAAAUAUGAGUUUGCUGUGGUGGUGCAGAAUGUUUUAACGGUCAGCAAAUACUAAAUGUUGUUAAACCACACUCUACACUGCUUCUGUCUUAAGGCAGUAAAUCUUCCUCUGAGAUGUGUGUGAAUUCCCAUUAGGUUGGAUAAGCAUUGCAAAAACUCACAUUGUAUUUCAAACCUCUUUGCUUCAGUGUAAGAACAUAAAAUCUGUUACCUAUAUUAACACAGGCAAGGGAUUUCGACAGAGGGGGUGAGAGAAUAAUGCACAGAGCAUCUUGUUCCAGUCCUUGCAGCUCAAGGCUUAUAAAGGCAUCUGUUAAAUGCUGGAUGGAGAUAUGAAGGCUUUGGAAAUGCUCCUUUUUUGUUGUUUUCCAGACACCAUCAUCCUAAAUUUCCUGGAGACAUGUUCUGUUUGUCCUGAUAGCAGAAUUUCAAAGAAUGAUUGACUGAUUCUGUUAUUAAAGACUAUGCCCAAGAGGAAAAAGCUGCUCAGCCUUUUGUCUGUCAGAUUUUUUUUCAUUGCCUCCUAUGUGUUUAUGUUAAUGUAACUGCUCAUAUUAAUUACAAAUUUUAGCUUUUCUUCAAAUAAUGCAUUUGUGAAGGUUUAGCAGUGUUUGAAAUGUAGUACAAACGUAAGGUCUCAAUAUAUGUUCUAGUUUCUUCCUGUUGUUUAGCUGUGACCUGGGCUGUGUUACUCAGAGUGGAGCUGGCACCCUUCCCCUCUGUUCAGGGCUUGCAGGACUUGGAGUACGGUAUCCCGUUUGGAGCUGAGGAGUGGGAUCGAGCCAGCAGAGUGUAGAAGUCAGUCGCUGUGCCAAAGCUGUGAGAGAGUUUGGGCUCUUCAGCCUAGAGAAGAGGAAGCUCUGUGGACACCUUUUUGUGGCCCUUUAGUACCUAAGGGGCGGCUGACAGGUGGGCACGGACAUUACAGGAUUGCAUGUUGUGUUGGGAAAAGGGGCGAUGGUUUCAGACAGAAAGAGAUCAAUUCAGGUUAGAUAUAAAGAAGGUAUUUUGUACAACGAGGGUGGUGAUGCACAAGAACAAGGAGAUGGGCCUCUGAGCAUCCUGGUCUAGUUGAAGACAUCCCUGCUCUUUGAAGGAAUGUUGGACUUGCCAACCCAAACCACCCCACGAUAAGUGAUGGGUUUGGGACUCUGCCAUUCUAAAAAUAGGCCUGAAAUACUUUUACUCUAAAACUUAAAUGAGACCCAGAACCCUGCUAACAAGGAUAGUUGGGGUUUGUUGCCUUUCUUUCUUGGAUGGCAUGGAGCAGGGUAGCUGUUAGUCCUUCCCAGCUGAAUAUUACCCUGAACUUGGGGCAUCUUGGUGUGCUUUGGGGCAUAGGAGGACUGCCAGAAUCAUGCUAAAUGUGCACUUUAGUCUGUUAAACCCACUGCCUUGAGGACUUUAAUCAGCUGAGCUGGGUAAGACAAGGCCUCAUGGCUCGUCCAAAGCAUUUGGAUGAAACGACAAACCCACUGCAAAUCUUUCUUGUGGUUUUGGUUUUUUGUUUGGUUUCUUUUUACCAUUCUCUUCCAUUAAUUGGGGUCACUGCUUUGAAAGCAGCUUUGUUUUAUUUGGAUAAAUUAAUAAUACACUUGUUGCUAUGUUUAAAAUAGUCUGAUUUAAAGAAAUGGAAGAGUUGUUUGGUUCUAAACCUAGAUAGCUUAAAAAUAGCUGUGGGUGACUGAUGCUAUUGUAGCAAUAUAAUGUCAAAACAUGAGUUGAAGAAAGGACAAAUAAUGUAAAGUGUUGACUGCAUCUUGUAAAACUCUUUUGAUGAAACCCUGGUGUCUUUUUCAGCGCAAGCUUAGUUUAGCUUAAUGUUCUGUGCUCUGAAAGGCAAAGAUGUUCAAGAUGACUAACUUACUAAAUGGCGCAUCCUGUUGUGCUGGAUCUGCCAGGGAAGAGUCAAACAUGGCAAAAACAUUCCUGAAACAGCCCUGAAAAAGUUUUGUGAAUUAGAUGUACAGUCGACUUCCAAAAUCUUCCAGAAAGGAUGUCCACACCAUCAAUAACCUCGCUACGUUGCUAACAGCCAUUUCUGAAAGACAGGCUUUGGGACUUUGAAGAGAGUACAUUGAUCAAAGUUUCAUGAAGCAAAACAACUUUAUAAAGAGGGAUUUUGAAAUAUUCCAGUUCUUUCAAAUCUUCAUUGAAGUGUUUAGUGGCUGUUUUGAAAAUUCUGUGGCUAGUAAAGGAGACAUAGCCAUUAAACUCCAAACAAAGCUGUGUUAUUUCAAUUCCUGUUUCUAUAAAUUGCAGACCUACAAUGCAACUGAAAGGGUUCAUACUUAAAUGAUUCACAAAUUGUUGGCAAACGCACCUUGAGCUGUACUUUUUCAAGACUGCUGUAUACACUAUUAAUUAUACAGAUGAAGUAGUAAUGCUUUAUAAGGCAUAUAAUGCUUUUAUAUGUCUGCUGAGUAGUUAACUAAAAUAAACUCAACAGUUUGGGGGGGAAAUACUGUCUAAUAAUGAGCCAUAAUUUUUAUAACAGAAAUCUAAAUUUC